GCUAAUUCUGUCUGCGGGAAGUGUCUCGCGAUGCGCGUUUCAAGACUAUGUGGAUGGUCUCGGAGACCAGCCAGUGACUUGUGCAAUUCAGCCCCUCGACUGCCUUUCCAUCUGUGAGCUCUGGAUGUGGCACAGGGCUUAUGCGGGGAUUGUGCGGAGAUGUGGGCUCGUACUCCCUGCCACCCACAGACUGCGGCAGGUGAUGACAUGGAGACUGCAGGAAGAUGCACCCAAUUCAGGACAGCUGUUGCCUACGUGGAAGGAGGGAAACCAGACUGAGGAGGGAAGAAUGAGGACUUCAACUUUACCUCCAGUGUGUUACUUCUUGUAUUUAAAAAAGCGAUGCCAAAUUGUCAAAACCUUAAAAUUUGUUGAUUCCGGGCAAGUAGGUUCAA